GGGACGCCGGGUUUCCGUGUGUUUUCUCUUUCGAUUUCUUCCCACAAAUUCAGAGAAUAUUCUGUCCCCAAGUCCCCUGUUCAGUAUUUCGGAGUAUUGCCUAAGCCCAUCACCGCCUGCUAUUUCUAGCCUGCCCUAACCUGGUGUUUUCCGGACCCUGUCCACCCAUCCUCGGUCUAGGACACAAUGACAAGUGCCUUUUCGACUAGAGGUAGCAGAUGUGGGUCAGAUCGUCACCCACAUGGAAUUCAGCAAUAAUUAGCAAACAGCGACGGUGUAGGCGGGUGACCUAGGUUCCACCAGUCAGAUGCAUCCAUGUGAGACUGAUUUGGAAAAGAGCCACAGUGAUGCAGGCUUCGUGGAAAGAGGAGCCCAAGGCAGCAUCUUUAAAGCCACAGGAGCCAUACGGGGAAAAUUCUGGAGUUUAAUUUCCACCAUGUUUGUUGGUGAGA